rnacentral:rRNA from 1 species
UGCGUAACACGUUGGUGACCUGCCCCGAGGUGGGGGAUAACCGUGGGAAACCACGGCUAAUACCCCGGAUGCCAAAGUAUUUAGAAAGCUUUGGCUAAAGCUCCGGCGCCUCGGGAGGGGCCUGCGGGCUAUCAGCUUGUUGGUGGGGUAAUGGCCUACCAAGGCAAAGACGGCUAGGGGGCGUGAGAGCGCGACCCCCCACAAUGGAACUGAGACACGGUCCAUACUCCUACGGGAGGCAGCAGUGAGGAAUAUUGCGCAAUGGGGGCAACCCUGACGCAGCAACGCCGCGUGGAUGAUGAAGGCCUUCGGGUUGUAAAAUCCUUUUCCGGGGGAAGAAUCAUGACGGUACCUCGGGAAUAAGUCCCGGCUAACUACGUGCCAGCAGCCGCGGUAAAACGUAGGGGGCGAGCGUUAUCCGGAUUUACUGGGCGUAAAGCGCACGUAGGCGGCGCUGUAAGUUGGGCGUGAAAGCUCCCGGCUCAACUGGGAGAGGUCGUUCAAAACUGCAGUGCUUGAGGUUGGAAGAGGAGAGUGGAAUUCCCGGCGUACUGGUGGAAUGCGUAGAUCUCGGGGAGGAACACCAGGUGGCGAAGGCGGAUCUCUGGUCCAACCCUGACGCUGAGCUGCGAAAGCGUGGUGAGCGAACGCGAUUAGAUACCCCGGUAGUCCACGCUUUAAACGAUGGAUACUAGGUCUGGGAGGUUACUUACCCCUUCCGUGCCGUAGCUAACGUGAUAAGUAUCCCGCCUGGGGACUACGGCCGCAAGGUUAAAACUCAAAGGAAUUGACGGGGGCCCGCACAAGCAGCGGAGCGUGUGGUUUAAUUCGAUGAUACGCGAAGAACCUUACCUGGGCUUGACAUGUUGGUAGUAGUGAAGCGAAAGCGGAUCGACCCUUCGGGGAGCCAUCACAGGUGCUGCAUGGCUGUCGUCAGCUCGUGUCGUGAGAUGUUGGGUUAAGUCCCGCAACGAGCGCAACCCUUGUCGUUAGUUACAUGUGUCUAGCGAGACUGCCGGUACCAAACCGGAGGAAGGUGGGGAUGACGUCAAGUCAGCAUGGUCUUUAUGUCCAGGGCUACACACACGCUACAAUGGCCGGUACAAUAGGUUGCCACACCGCGAGGUGGAGCUAAUCCCCAAAGCCGGUCUCAGUUCGGAUUGUAGUCUGCAACUCGACUGCAUGAAGGCGGAGUUGCUAGUAACCGCGCGUCAGCAAUAGUGCGGUGAAUGCGUUCCCGGGCCUUGUACACACCGCCCGUCAC